AAGGAGAAAUCCAGAUCUAAGAAAAGGAAGAAAAGAUCCUAUUCAUCGAGUGAUUCAGAGGACAGUCCCAAAGCAAAGAAAAGUAAAAGCCACAGGAAAGAAAAGAAACAGAGAAAAGAAAAACAUCCCAAGAAA